UCAUCUCUUCAAUGGCUAAACUCCAUACUUCGCAAAUCUUUGCCAGAUUUGUCGCAAAAAUCACUUUAAAGUAAGCAAUUAGUUGUGCUAAUCAACCGGAUGCACAGACAAUUAGCAAAUCCAUUCCAAAUAAUCAAAUCCAUGGACAAGCACACUGCAAGAGCAAUACUGCAAAUACAUGGCUUCAUUUGUCAAUUUUGCUAUCAAUCCAUAAAUUUUCUGGUUCGUCUUCUCCAAAUCGACUUCAAAUAUGGAAAUUUCUAGAAAUUUACUCACUGCAUCUGCCAAUGAACAGAAAACAUGGUCGGCUUGGAUUUGGAUAUAUCAAGAGCAGAGUUUUGUAUAUUUUCUGGAUUUGAAGAAUGCUAGGGAUUAUUUGAAAAUUAUGGAAAACCAUGGAAAAUAUGGAUAUAUGUGUUGUGAGAUGUAAUGUUUACUUGAAGGAUGGUAAAUGCCAUGGCUUGCUUUGCUGAGUGUUAGUGUCUGCUGCAAAUUUUUAAUUGGUUCAGGUUCAUAUCAAUUUUGACCUCUUUAGGCGAAGGUUCUCAGUUCAUUUUAAAGUAGAAUAUCUUUCAUUAGCUGCUACCUACUCCUGGUCAAAGGUGAUACAGUUUAAGCCUUUAUCUCAUCUUGUUUCUUUUGCAGGAUACUGUCAAGUGGAUUCUUAGUUUUGGAUAAUGGGGUCUUUGGAGUUAUGGAUGACAUGUAAAUGUCACUCCAUAACUGUGAUUAAAUGGAGUUAUAUGGAUUUGAGGGCACUGAGGCAACACUUCUCACAGAUUCACUUUCAGUUGGAGGGUAGGAAAAAGAACAAGCUAGUUGAUCAACUUGCUGGUAUUACACGUCAGGAAAGCAUGGAGAUGAACCAGAUCAUGCAACUUCGGGAACCUACAACUGAAUGUUUAAAAUUUUAUUACGAGGACAUCCAUGAUUGUAGUAGUAGUAAUCUAAAAAUUAUAACGUAAUUUUAAUGCUUUUAGAACUUU